GCUGACGUCAAGCCUGCGACAGACGCCACGCCGGAAGCGGGCGGGUGCUUGCUUUGUGGGGCCGCUGGGAGCGCUUGGUUAUUUCCUCUGAGCGCUUAGCUGCCGCUUGUAGACUUGACUGCGUGGGCACAGAAGUCAAGUGGUGGUGGAGAGAGUGUAUUAUCCAAUUUGUAUGUCUUUCAGUCAGCUCUUUCCUCCACGCGUCUAAACAUCCUCCGCACCUGCUGGUGACUUUGGCAGUUUAUCUCCAGCAGGGCAAGUUUUCUAAGCUUGGAAAAAAGAUGGAUUUGCCCUCUUAGGUGUGGGGCUUUAGUUGGGAACUCACAUAGGACAUCAGUCAACUCUGUUGGAUUUGCCCGUCGUCUGGAUGGACUGGCAGGAAGACAAGUUCAGAUGGAGAUGAGUGCUGUGGAGAAAAUACCAAACAGGAAAGGGGAAAUGAUGAAACAUCACUAGUUAAAAUAGGGUGUUCGGAGAAGACCUCACUGAGAAGAGCAUUUGAGCAAAAGAUCUGAAAAAGUGGAGGAAGCUAUGCAGAUGUCUGAGAGAAGAGCCUUUCAAGCAAAGACAACAGCAAGUGUGGACAAAGAGUGUCUGAUGCAUGAAAGCAGUGUUAGGUUUGGCGUGUUGGCAGUGGGCUGGGCCAAGGAGGAGGGGGAGCUGGUGUGGAAUGCUGUGAAAGAUAAGGGGGUUUUUAGGCAUUGUAUGUACUUUGACUUGAAUUUUGGGUGGGGUAGGUGGGAAGGCAUUAGAGAAUUUUGAAGAGGAGUGACAUAAUCUGACUUAUUUUUUGUAAAAGUUCACUCCGAGGUUAGUGUUAAGACUAAACAGAAGGUAAAUGAAAGGAGAAUUAUAAAAUUCAAAAAUAAUAGGUGGAUUCCCUAUCAGUAAUGGAUAGGACACUCGGACAGAAAAUUAGAAGAAGAUAUCAACCAAAACAAAAAAAAUGUGUAUAUCAACCAACUAGGCUUAACUGAAAUCUAUAGAAUAUUCAGACAAUAGCAGAAUAGACAUAUCAAGUUCACAUGGAAUAUUCUUUGGGAUAGACUAGAUACUAGGCCAUGAAACAAGUCUCAAAAAGUUCAAAAUAAUUGAAAUACAAAGUAUGUUCUCAAACCACAAUGGAAACAUAAGGAAAAAUUUGGAGAUCACAAAUAUGUGGAAAUUAAAUGAUAUGCUAUAAAUUACUAAUGGAUCAAAGAAGAAAUCAUAAUGAAAAUUUAAAAAUACUUUGAGAUGAAUGAAAAUGAAAUAUACCAAAAUUUAUGGGUUGCAAUGAAAGCUGUACUUAGAGGAAAAUUUCAGCUGUACAUUCUUUUUUUAAAUUGAGGUAUAAUUAACAUAUUAGUUUUAGGCGUACAACAUAAUGAUUUGAUAUUUGUAUAUACUGCAAAAUGACCAUAAUAGGUCUAGUUAAUAUUUUGGAAUAAAUUAUCAAAAAUACAAGACUACAGCAUUAUAAAUUACAAAAUAUUGUUGAAUGCAAUUGAAGACCUAAAUACAUGGGAAAACAUUCUCUGUCCAUAGAUUAAAAAGGACUUAAUAUUGUGUAGAGAUGCCCCCCCCCCCAAAUUGUUCCACAUAUUCAGUGUAAACUCUAUUAAAAUCUCUGCUGGCUUUUUUGGGGGGGGUUAGAAAUUGACAAGCUGGAAUUCUCAUGGAAAUGCCAAGGAUCCAGACAGCAAUAUUGAAAAAGAAGAAUAAAGCUUGAGAAACUACACCUCCCCAUUUCAGAACUUAAUGCAAAGCUACAGUAAUGUGUGAUAGUGGCAAGAGGAUAAACAUAGAUCAAUAGGAUAGAAUUAAGAAGCCCACAAAUAAACCCUUACAUUUACGGUCAAUUGAUUUUUAGCAAUGGUAUCCAGAAAACCCAAUGGGGAAGUAGGAGCCUUCAAAAAUGGUUCUGGGACAAUUGAAGAUCCACUUAGGCAAAAAACUGAAUUUAGAUCUCAACCUCACACCACGCAGAAAAGUUCACUCAAAGUGGAUCAUAGACCUAAAUGUAAGAGCUAAAACGGUAAAUUUUAGAACAAAGCAAGGUCGCUUUUGGCAGUGAUUACUUAGAAAUAGCCCCAAAAGCACAGGGGUAAAAGAAAAUAUAAUGAAUUAGACUUAAAACUUUUGCAUUUCAAAAAACACUUGCCAGGAAGUGAAAAAACCCACAGAAUGGGAGAAAUAUUUGCAAAUCAUAUGUAUUCAGUAAGGGAUUUACAUUAAGAACAUAAAACUCUAACGACUCACUAAAAAUGACCCCAUGUAUUUUAAAAGGGCAGAGGAUUUGAACUGAUGUUUCUAAAAAGAAGAUAUACAACGGCUGAUAAGCACAUAAAAAGAUGCUGACUAUUACUAGUAAUUAAGGAAGUGGAAGUCAGAACUACAGUGGGAGGGGUUCCCACUGCGGCACAGCUGGAUUGGCGUCAUCUCUGCAGCACCAGGACGCAGGUUCAAUCCCCGGCCCAGCACAGUGGGUUAAAGGAUCCAGCGCUGCUGCGUCUGUGGCUCGGGUCUGAUCCCUGGCCCAGGAAUUCCAUCUGCCUCGGGGCAGUCGGAAAAGGAUAAAAAAGAAAACACACACACAACACACACAGGCGCUACUGCUUUACACCUACUAUAGUGGCUAACAGGGGCAAUGAAUGCAUGUUCACACACAGAGUUUUCGCAUUGAAUAUUCAGAGCACCCAUAGUCGCUGUAGCUAAAAAGUCAAAGCAACUGAAAUGUCCAUCAACUGGUGAGUGGAUAAACAAAAUGUUAUAUAAUCUGUAUCAAAGACAGCUCGUUGACAAUAAGAAAUAAAAUAACUGAUACAUGCCACAU
rnacentral:lncRNA from 9 species